AAGCCGUACACUUGGCGUUGAGGUCCCCC
rnacentral:sRNA from 1 species